AACACAUGCAAGUCGAACGAUGAAGCCCUUCGGGGUGGAUUAGUGGCGAACGGGUGAGUAACACGUGGGCAAUCUGCCCUUCACUCUGGGACAAGCCCUGGAAACGGGGUCUAAUACCGGAUAACACUCUGUCCCGCAUGGGACGGGGUUAAAAGCUCCGGCGGUGAAGGAUGAGCCCGCGGCCUAUCAGCUUGUUGGUGGGGUGAUGGCCUACCAAGGCGACGACGGGUAGCCGGCCUGAGAGGGCGACCGGCCACACUGGGACUGAGACACGGCCCAGACUCCUACGGGAGGCAGCAGUGGGGAAUAUUGCACAAUGGGCGAAAGC
rnacentral:rRNA from 1 species